UUGGAGGGCAAGUCUGGUGCCAGCAGCCGCGGUAAUUCCAGCUCCAAUAGCGUAUAUUAAAGUUGUUGCAGUUAAAAAGCCCGUAGUUGAAUUUCGGGGUCAGUAGGUUGGUCAUGCCACUGGUAUGUACUGGUCUCACUGAUUCCUCCUUCCUGAUGAACUGUAAUGCCAUUAAUUUGGUGUUGCAGGGAAUCUGGACUGUUACUUUGAAAAAAUUAGAGUGUUUAAAGCAGGCUAACGCCUGAAUACAUUAGCAUGGAGUAAUGAAAUAGGACGUUCGAUCCUAUUUUGUUGGUUUCUAGGAUUGACGUAAUGAUUAAUAGGGAUAGUUGGGGGCAUUAGUAUUCAAUUGUCAGAGGUGAAAUUCUUGGAUUUAUUGAAGACUAACUACUGCGAAAGCAUUUGCCAAGGAUGUUUUCAUUAAUCAAGAACGAAAGUUAGGGGAUCGAAGACGAUCAGAUACCGUCGUAGUCUUAACCAUAAACUAUGCCGACUAGGGAUCGGAUGAUGUUAAUUUUUUAAUGACUCAUUCGGCGCCUUACGGGAAACCAAAGUGUUUGGGUUC
rnacentral:rRNA from 1 species